UCAAAUUGAAGAACCAUUGCCAUGUUCAUCCAAAGUGAAAGAUACAAGAGACAUUGGGGAUCUUCUAAGAGCUUGUUUGAUUAUGUUGAUUGCUUGAGCUUACACUUAUUUUGCUUGCAUAUUCCAAAGGAUGGGAGCUACUUGGAUCAUCAAUAUGAUCUCAAGAGAGGAACUCCAUUUGUGGUCUUGUUUCUUAUCCCUCAUCUCUUGUAUGAUUAGGACUUUAG
rnacentral:lncRNA from 1 species